rnacentral:misc_RNA from 1 species
GAUGAAGAACGCAGCGAAAUGCGAUAAGUAGUGUGAAUUGCAGAAUUCAGUGAAUCAUCGAAUCUUUGAACGCACAUUGCGCCCCUUGGUAUUCCAUGGGGCAUGCCUGUUCGAGCGUCAUUUGUACCUUCAAGCUUUGCUUGGUGUUGGGUGUUUGUCCCGAGGGACUCGCCUUAAAGUAAUUGGCAGCCAGUGUUUGGUUUUGAAACGCAGCACAAGUCGCGAUUCAAGGCUACACGCCCGCUUCCACAAGCCUUUUUUCACUUUUGACCUCGGAUCAGGUAGGGAUACCCGCUGAACUUAAGCAUAUCAAUAAGCGGAGGA